AUGACGAAUAGAGAGGAUUUCAUCCAUUUCUCCGGUUUUACCCAACAACCGGGGCGCCUCAGACUUCCUAGGGCGCCAUCAACCUCAGGCUCUUCCUCGGGAGAUCCCAAUGGGCAAGAAGGCCUCCUGCCGAUCGCCAACGUGGGGCGGAUCAUGAAGGACGUGCUGCCGCCGGAGGCCAAGGUCUCGAAGCACGCCAAGGAGGUGAUCCAGGAGUGCGCCACGGAGUUCAUCGGCUUCGUCACCGGCGAGGCCUCGGAGCGGUGCCGGCGGGAGCGGCGCAAGACGGUGAACGGCGACGACAUCUGCCACGCCAUGACCACCCUUGGCCUCGACAACUACGCCGGUGCCAUGCGCAGGUACCUGCAGAGGUACCGCGAGGGCGAGGAGCUCGCGGCGGCGCUCAACAACCACAGCAGGUCACCGGCUCCGCCGCCGCCAGGCGACGGCAUGAUCCAGAUCGAUGUCUGGGGCGAGCUGUCCAACUCCAGGGGCAACGAGAAGCAUGGCAGGGAUUAA
rnacentral:rRNA from 1 species